rnacentral:lncRNA from 1 species
AUAUUCAUAAUCAACAGGCACUGAAAUCCUAAGUAACGUCACGGGAGGUGAGGGAUGGCCCUUGAGAUCAAGAGGUUGGAAACUGCUACUCUAGGCUGUACUGGACACACCUAAACUGUGCCACCCAGAGCUAAGCUCAGCCUUCCUGGGUUGAAGCUCCAGCACUGAUGUCUCUCGUGAAGCCAGGAGUCAUUAACUUACUAAUUCCAGCUAUUAAGACAACUGAUUUGGUGACUUGGGUGAGGCAGUUCUGCACUGAAGGUUAAAGUGAAUUUAAGGGUGACCUUGAAACCAGAAGAC